rnacentral:rRNA from 1 species
UACGGAGGGUGCAAGCGUUAUCCGGAUUCACUGGGCGUAAAGGGUGCGUAGGUGGUGAGGUAAGUCGGAUGUGAAAGCUCGGAGCUCAACUCCGAAAUGGCAUUGGAAACUACCUCGCUCGAGGGUUGGAGGGGGGACUGGAAUGCUUGGUGUAGCAGUGAAAUGCGUAGAUAUCAAGCGGAACACCAGUGGCGAAGGCGAGUCCCUGGACAACUCCUGACACUGAGGCACGAAAGCUAGGGGAGCAAACAGG